UACGUAGGGGGCAAGCGUUGUCCGGAAUCAUUGGGCGUAAAGAGCGCGUAGGCGGUCCGGUAAGUCCGCUCUGAAGGUCCGGGGCUCAACCCCGGGAGGCGGGCGGAUACUGUCGGGCUAGAGUCCGGAAGAGGCGAGUGGAAUUCCUGGUGUAGCGGUGAAAUGCGCAGAUAUCAGGAGGAACACCAAUGGCGAAGGCAGCUCGCUGGGACGGUACUGACGCUGAGGCGCGAAAGCGUGGGGAGCAAACAGG
rnacentral:rRNA from 1 species